CCUACGGGAGGCAGCAGUGAGGAAUAUUGGUCAAUGGGCGUAAGCCUGAACCAGCCAAGUCGCGUGAGGGAUGAAGGCUCUAUGGAUCGUAAACCUCUUUUAUAAGGGAAUAAAGUGCGGGACGUGUCCCGUUUUGUAUGUACCUUAUGAAUAAGGAUCGGCUAACUCCGUGCCAGCAGCCGCGGUAAUACGGAGGAUCCGAGCGUUAUCCGGAUUUAGUGGGUUUAAAGGGUGCGUAGGAGGCUUUUUAAGUCAGCUGUGAAAGUCUGUGGCUCAACCAUAGAAUUGCAGUUGAAACUGGGAGGCUUGAGUAUGUUAGAGGCAGGCGGAAUGCGUGGUGUAGCGGUGAAAUGCUUAGAUAUCACGCAGAACCCCGAUUGCGAAGGCAGCCUGC
rnacentral:rRNA from 1 species